UACCAGCACCCCGAGUGGUCGGGACGAUUAUUGGGCCUAAAGCAUCCGUAGCCGGUUCUACAAGUCUUCCGUUAAAUCCACCUGCUCAACAGAUGGGCUGCGGAGGAUACUAUAGAGCUAGGAGGCGGGAGAGGCAAGCGGUACUUAGUGGGUAGGGGUAAAAUCCGUUGAUCCAUUGAAGACCACCAGUGGCGAAGGCGGCUAACUGGUCCAGAUCUGACGCUGAGGUGCGAAAGCGUGGGGAGCAAACAGG
rnacentral:rRNA from 1 species